CAUGUAUAAACGCAAAACAGUCGAAAGGCUGCGACGCAAAGCCCAGGAGUCUACCGCGUGUACACAACGCCAUGAUCGUCCGGCCGCCAUG
rnacentral:ncRNA from 1 species